rnacentral:rRNA from 1 species
AUUUAUUGGGCGUAAAGCGCGCGUAGGCGGUUUUUUAAGUCUGAUGUGAAAGCCCACGGCUCAACCGUGGAGGGUCAUUGGAAACUGGAAAACUUGAGUGCAGAAGAGGAAAGUGGAAUUCCAUGUGUAGCGGUGAAAUGCGCAGAGAUAUGGAGGAACACCAGUGGCGAAGGCGACUUUCUGGUCUGUAACUGACGCUGAUGUGCGAAAGCGUGGGGAUCAAACAGGAUUAGAUACCCUUGUA